GUCACCCUACGGGGGGCAGCAGUGAGGAAUAUUGGUCAAUGGGAGAGAUCCUGAACCAGCCACGCCGCGUGAGGGAAGACGGCCCUAUGGGUUGUAAACCUCUUUUGUCGGAGAACAAAACCCGGGACGUGUCCCGGACUGCGUGUAUCCGAAGAAAAAGCAUCGGCUAACUCCGUGCCAGCAGCCGCGGUAAUACGGAGGAUGCGAGCGUUAUCCGGAUUUAUUGGGUUUAAAGGGUGCGUAGGCGGACGCUUAAGUCAGCGGUAAAAUUGCGGGGCUCAACCUCGUCGAGCCGUUGAAACUGG
rnacentral:rRNA from 1 species